GAUGAACGCUAGCGAUAGGCUUAACACAUGCAAGUCGAGGGGCAGCAUGGUCUUAGCUUGCUAAGGCUGAUGGCGACCGGCGCACGGGUGCGUAACGCGUAUGCAACUUGCCUCACAGAGGGGGAUAACCCGUCGAAAGACGGACUAAUACCGCGUACACUCUAUGUUGGGCAUCCAAUGUAGAGGAAAUGAAAUUCGCUGUGAGAUAGGCAUGCGUCCCAUUAGCUAGUUGGUGAGGUAACGGCUCACCAAGGCGACGAUGGGUAGGGGAACUGAGAGGUGGAACCCCCACACUGGUACUGAGACACGGACCAGACUCCUACGGGAGGCAGCAGUGAGGAAUAUUGAUCAAUGGGCGAGAGCCUGAACCAGCCAAGUCGCGUGAAGGAUGACUGUCUUAUGGAUUGUAAACUUCUUUUAUACGGGAAUAACAAGAGUCACGUGUGGCUCCCUGCAUGUACCGUAUGAAUAAGCAUCGGCUAACUCCGUG
rnacentral:rRNA from 1 species